GACGAACGCUGGCGGCGUGCCUAAUACAUGCAAGUAGAACGCUGAAGGAGGAGCUUACUUCUCUGGAUGAGUUGCGAACGGGUGAGUAACGCGUAGGUAACCUGCCUGGUAGCGGGGGAUAACUAUUGGAAACGAUAGCUAAUACCGCAUAAGAGUAGAUGUUGCAUGACAUUUACCUAAAAGGUGCAAUUGCACCACUACCAGAUGGACCUGCGUUGUAUUAGCUAGUUGGUGGGGUAACGGCUCACCAAGGCGACGAUACAUAGCCGACCUGAGAGGGUGAUCGGCCACACUGGGACUGAGACACGGCCCAGACUCCGACGGGAGGCAGCAGUAGGGAAUCUUCGGCAAUGGACGGAAGUCUGACCGAGCAACGCCGCGUGAGUGAGGAAGGUUUUCGGAUCGUAAAGCUCUGUUGUAAGAGAAGAACGAGUGUGAGAGUGGAAAGUUCACACUGUGACGGUAUCUUACCAGAAAGGGACGGCUAACUACGUGCCAGCCGCCGCAGUAA
rnacentral:rRNA from 1 species